AUUGAACGCUGGCGGCAUGCCUUACACAUGCAAGUCGAACGGUAACGCGGGGGCAACCCUGGCGACGAGUGGCGAACGGGUGAGUAAUACAUCGGAACAUAUCCAGUAGCGGGGGAUAACCUAUCGAAAGAUUGGCUAAUACCGCAUACGAUCUACGGAUGAAAGCGGGGGACAGCAAGGCCUCGCACUAUUGGAGUGGCCGAUGGCAGAUUAGCUAGUUGGUGGGGUAAGAGCCUACCAAGGAGACGAUCUGUAGCGGGUCUGAGAGGACGAUCAGCCACACUGGAACUGAGACACGGUCCAGACUCCUACGGGAGGCAGCAGUGGGGAAUUUUGGACAAUGGGCGCAAGCCUGAUCCAGCCAUGCCGCGUGAGUGAAGAAGGCCUUCGGGUUGUAAAGCUCUUGCGGUGAAGACGAAACGGUUAGUGUUAAUAACACUGACUAAUGACGGUACUCACAGAAGAAGCACCGGCUAACUACGUGCCAGCCGCCGCAGUAA
rnacentral:rRNA from 1 species